GUAGUGAUGGAUGAUGCAAUAAAGAGAGGACCAGAGGGUAUGCAAUACUAAUUAUAUGGAAAAUUUUUGAAGUAGUUUGUUGAGGGCAUAAUGAUAAUUAAAUAAUUUCAGUUUUUAAUGUCCAUUAUUAUAACAUAUCUAGUUUUUCCAGGAAUAUACUCAAAUGUUAUUAUACUACUAAAUAUUUCCCGAUAGCAUCCCUCUUCCUCAUCCCCCACAGGCAAUUGGUUGUGUCCUCAUGUAUGUAAGUAAAUAGAUCUAUUAAAACACAUAGCAAAUUAAUUGAUUAUUCAAUUAAUUUAUUGACUCACCAGAAGUUUAUUGAACACCUACUCUUUGUCAGGCACUGCAGAGGACAUCGGGGAUACAACAAUGAUUUCGAUGCGGGUAACUCACAGCUUGGUAGCGGAAACCAGAAGUGAAUCAGCACUUACACGACUUACGUAUGCACAGACCCCCAGGUCUAUCAGGAAAGUGAAGAGCUAGACACAUUGGAUGUCACUGUGGACAGAAAGAGACACAAAACUCUGUGUCUCCAAGUAGCAGUCAGUCAGACUCUGGAAAGUUGUGGAUAAAAGAGACUGCUAUCCCGAUCAAAAUACCGAUGACAUUUUUCA